rnacentral:rRNA from 1 species
UAGGGAAUCUUCCGCAAUGGACGCAAGUCUGACGGAGCAACGCCGCGUGAGUGAAGAAGGAUUUCGGUUCGUAAAACUCUGUUGUUAGAGAAGAACAGCGCAUAGAGUAACUGUUAUGCGUGUGACGGUAUCUAACCAGAAAGCCACGGCUAACUACGUGCCAGCAGCCGCGGUAAUACGUAGGUGGCAAGCGUUGUCCGGAUUUAUUGGGCGUAAAGCGAGCGCAGGCGGUCAAUUAAGUCUGAUGUGAAAGCCCCCGGCUCAACCGGGGAGGGUCAUUGGAAACUGGUUGACUUGAGUGCAGAAGAGGAGAGUGGAAUUCCAGGUGUAGCGGUGAAAUGCGUAGAUAUAUGGAGGAACACCAGUGGCGAAGGCGACUCUCUGGUCUGUAACUGACGCUGAGGCUCGAAAGCGUGGGUAGCAAACAGG